AUCCUUCCCACUCCCCCCCAACGCCCUAAGGCCAUGGGCUUCCUCGGGUCCUGCCUGUUGGCCCGCCCCAUCUGCGGCCCGGGGACGGGCGCGGGGGCAGCCGGUCGGCUCCCAGCCUCCCCACGCCGUGUCCUUCCAGCCUGGGCCCCGACAUUACUGGCGCUGCGGCAACCUCGGCUCAGACUGCGGGCGCUGGUCAGCGGCCGGAGCGCCGGGAGCUGCAUGGCCCCCCGCGGGGCGGGAUCCAGGGACGAGCCUGGCCAGGACAGCCCUGCGGCCUCCGUCCCCGGUCUAGCCUGGCGCGCGCCGUUAAACACAGAGCGGAGUAAAGACGGAAGGAAAUGGUAGCCGAGCACUGGGCGAGGGCAGAGCUCCCAGAAGCUGACCACAUUCCCUGCCUUGCGACCACCAUCCUCUGUCUUCAAAAACAGCAACAGCAGAUUGAGUCUUUAUGCUGCCAUCUUUCUGGUUCUCUGAUCAUAGCUGGGAAAGUUUCUCCACUUUUAAGGAAUCAUGUUAUUAGAUUUGGCCCACCCAGAUAAUCCAGGAUAAUCCCUCCAUCUCAAGGAUUGCUUGGGCUGCUAUUUUGAAAUGAGACAGAAGAGGAUCAAGGCCCAAUGCAGGAAGACCCUUUAGGAGGCUACUCCGUGAUCCAGGAAUAUCUGCACACAUGGUUUGUUCUGCUACAGACAUAUCCAACCUCUUCAUUCCAAACUACUGUCUCCAAAAGAGAAUGUGGCAAGUGUGUGUAACUGAGUAGUACAUAGAAGGAAGAAGAAGGCAACCAUGGCUGAAAGCAACCCCACUGAAUCUCAUUCAUGAAUUUACCAUGGAGAGACCUUCAAGAUGGCGGAGGAGUAAGACAUGGAGAUCACCUUCCUCCCCACAAAUACAUCAGAAAUACAUCUACAUGCGGAACAGCUCCUACAGAACUCCUACUGAACGCUGGCAGAAGACCUCAGACCUGACCAUCUAGAG